GACGAACGCUGGCGGCGUGCCUAAUACAUGCCAGUUGAGCGCUGAAGGUUGGUACUUGUACCAACUGGAUGAGCAGCGAACGGGUGAGUAACGCGUGGGGAAUCUGCCUUUGAGCGGGGGACAACAUUUGGAAACGAAUGCUAAUACCGCAUAAAAACUUUAAACACAAGUUUUAAGUUUGAAAGAUGCAAUUGCAUCACUCAAAGAUGAUCCCGCGUUGUAUUAGCUAGUUGGUGAGGUAAAGGCUCACCAAGGCGAUGGUACAUAGCCGACCUGAGAGGGUGAUCGGCCACAUUGGGACUGAGACACGGCCCAAACUCCUACGGGAGGCAGCAGUAGGGAAUCUUCGGCAAUGGACGAAAGUCUGACCGAGCAACGCCGCGUGAGUGAAGAAGGUUUUCGGAUCGUAAAACUCUGUUGGUAGAGAAGAACGUUGGUGAGAGUGGAAAGCUCAUCAAGUGACGGUAACUACCCAGAAAGGGACGGCUAACUACGUG
rnacentral:rRNA from 1 species